rnacentral:rRNA from 1 species
UGCCAGCCGCCGCGGUAAUACGGAAGGUGCAAGCGUUAAUCGGAAUUACUGGGCGUAAAGAGCUCGUAGGCGGUUCAACAAGUCGGUCGUAAAAGUUUAGGGCUCAACCCUAAAAUGUCGAUCGAUACUGAUGUUCUUGAGUAUGGAUGAGGUGGUUGGAAUAUAACAUGUAGCGGUGAAAUGCUUAGAUAUGUUAUAGAACACCAAUUGCGAAGGCAGAUCACUAAACCAUUACUGACGCUGAGGUACGAAAGCGUGGGGAGCGAACAGGAUUAGAUA